rnacentral:lncRNA from 1 species
UGUCUGAAAAUUAAAGUUCCUUACUCUUGGUUUUGUGGCUUGGUGAGCUCAGAGUAAGCCUUUGUUUUCCCACACAAAACUGAAUUAUGAAUUGCAUUAGUUGACCUGAAACUGCCUGUGAUCAGUGAACCUCCAGGGAUGCCCCAUCCCUGGAGGUGUUCAAAGUCAGGCUGGAUAGGGCUUUGGACAACCUGAUCUAGUGGGUGGCAACCCUGCCUAUGGCAGUGGGGUUGGAGUUAGAUGAUAUUUAAGGUCCCUUUCAACUCAAGCCAUUCUAUGAUUUUAUGCUGACAAAUGCAUUCACAGCUGUGAAUACACAAUUUCAUUGUGUAUGAAAAAUAUGAACUUUGAAAAUUGUGAGCACAAAGCAGUUCUGCACUGCAGGCAAGCCCCAUACUACUAGAGAAACACUGCAUAGUCCCAGCAAGCUGCAAUCCUUCCUCAUCUUUCCCAAGCCAUGAGCACACAUUUCCGCAACACAUCUCUCAGCUCUGGGUAACUCCUUUUCUGGGCUCCAUGUCAAAUGCUUGUUUCAUUCAGGCAUUGCAACAAGGUUGGUUCUGGUCCUGCUUUUAGUGUUCGUUGAAGUAUUGGUAAUGCCAAACCCAGGUGCAUUAUUGAAAUGUAUGUUCAUAACAAUAUAUUUGGGAUCUUCAGAUGUGCAAGUCCUAAAAUGCACAAAAUAAACUUUCUCCUACUCUGUUCAGUCUGGCACAUCCUCAGCUUCCUUCCUAGUACCCCUAGUGUAAGAAGAGCAGCCUUAUCACUUGCCCUGGAAGUCAUGGUAUGAGUUUUCUUUACGGCAGAGGGAGAAGUCUUCUAGCUAGGUCCUGUCCUUCUCCUCCAAUGAAACACAAAGCAGAGAGGAAGAGCUGGAGCCAUAUCACUAUAGAAAGUGAUCAAGCUGUCUGUUGUUUUGGAAUGAGUUCCCAGACUUAUAAUCAAAUGAGAAGAUGAAAAGUGAAGAGUGGAUGGCUAACCAGCCACAGCAUACGCUGACUUGAACAUUGCAGUUACAAAAGCUGAAGAUGGGAGAAUGUGAGGAGAAGGAGAAAGUGAGCUGGGGAGAAAUGCCAGAAAGAUUAAACAGAGAAAAAUAAUCACGAGGUUUAGUACUUUGGUCUUGUCACAUAGAAUCAUAAAACAUACUUGAUUUCAUAAAUAGUAUAUAGAUAAAUAAUAGAUAAUAAAUAGAUAAAUAGUUUCA